rnacentral:rRNA from 1 species
UGCGUAGGGUGCAAGCGUUGUCCGGAAUUAUUGGGCGUAAAGAGCUCGUAGGCGGUCUGUCGCGUCGGAUGUGAAAAUCCAGGGCUCAACCCUGGACCUGCAUUCGAUACGGGCAGACUAGAGUUCGGUAGGGGAGACUGGAAUUCCUGGUGUAGCGGUGAAAUGCGCAGAUAUCAGGAGGAACACCGGUGGCGAAGGCGGGUCUCUGGGCCGAAACUGACGCUGAGGAGCGAAAGCGUGGGGAGCAAACAGG